rnacentral:rRNA from 1 species
CAGCCGCCGCGGGAAUACGUAGGUCCCGAGCGUUGUCCGGAUUUAUUGGGCGUAAAGCGAGCGCAGGCGGUUUGAUAAGUCUGAAGUUAAAGGCUGUGGCUCAACCAUAGUUCGCUUUGGAAACUGUCAAACUUGAGUGCAGAAGGGGAGAGUGGAAUUCCAUGUGUAGCGGUAAAAUGCGUAGAUAUAUGGAGGAACACCGGUGGCGAAGGCGGCUCUCUGGUCUGUAACUGACGCUGAGGCUCGAAAGCGUGGGGAGCGAACAGGAUUAGAUACCCCAGUAGUCCCUGUCUCUUAUACA